UCCGUUCUCCCCAGCCUCUCAGCUGCCAGGCAUCUGAGCCCCAAAUGAGCUCAGGCCUGACCUCCAAGAACGUCUGACUCUUCCUUCACCAGAUUCCCCAGAGGUCCUCGUCCAGCAGCAGGUCUGGGGGUUAGUUUUUCGUUUGGAUUGGUCUACUCUGUCUUCCAGAAGGCAUGAAGAUUUUUGACUAUUUACUCAUACGGAAGCAGAAAGCAUUAAGAGACUGUCUGGGAACUCUGGAUGGGCUAUCGCCCCAGCCAGCCCUUAUGCUGGGCAUCCCACAGGUGCCGGCAAGCCCAGGCUGUGCUGAGGCAGACACUGACACCAUCUCUCGGUGCUACCCAGCCUCCGGUAUAAGCUCCAUGACGACAAGUCUGCUUGCGAGUGUCCCUGUGUCUGAAUAAAAGGCCUCCUGGGGCCAUGCUCCCAAAGCCUGGAAAAUACCUGUGCAAACCGCUGGGCCGAGGAUUCCGUGCCACCUCUCCUAGGAAAUGAUGGCAACUGGAGCAUCGGCAGAGCCGCAAGCACGUGCCCCUUCCUCCCAAUACGGGUUUUCAGUGUGAACGUCCAUCAGUACGAGAUGGCCAUCCACACACACACAGUGACCCAGUCAUGAACUGAUGAGUGAGACGCACCUUGUGACGACAAAUUCACUCAUGAGGUGGUAAGACUUGAUGCCAGCUGGACUGAAAGGAAUUAAGUCUGUGCAGAGAAAAACUUCUGGGAGGGGCCCCCAGAAUGCUAGCAGGGGCUUGCUCUCAGGGGGUGAGAUUAUGAGUGGUUUCUGUUGUUUCCUAUUAUGUGUCUUUUUUAAUUUUUUCUUUUCCAUAAAUAAACAUGUAUCAAGUGUUUGUAAACAGCAGGCUUUGGGUACAUGCAUGAAACAUGCACCAAGCUGUACAGGUGUGACGUGUAUCUUUCUGCUCUGUGCUGCAUGUGGACUAUACACAAUAUGUGAGACCUGAUGGGGGCCCAAAGAAAGCGAAGCAGCUCUGACCAGACCUUGUUGGGAACGAGCACCCUGUCCCGCACCCACCCCACUUCCACA